UACGGGGGGGGCAAGCGUUGUUCGGAAUUACUGGGCGUAAAGGGCUCGUAGGCGGCCAACUAAGUCAGACGUGAAAUCCCUCGGCUUAACCGGGGAACUGCGUCUGAUACUGGAUGGCUAGAGGUUGGGAGAGGGAUGCGGAAUUCCAGGUGUAGCGGUGAAAUGCGUAGAUAUCUGGAGGAACACCGGUGGCGAAGGCGGCAUCCUGGGCCGGCAUUGACGCUGAGGAGCGAAAGCCAGGGGAGCAAACGGG
rnacentral:rRNA from 1 species